GCAAGUCGAACGAGACCUUCGGGUCUAGUGGCGCACGGGUGCGUAACGCGUGGGAAUCUGCCCUUGGGUUCGGAAUAACAGUUGGAAACGACUGCUAAUACCGGAUGAUGACGUAAGUCCAAAGAUUUAUCGCCCAGGGAUGAGCCCGCGUAGGAUUAGCUAGUUGGUGAGGUAAAGGCUCACCAAGGCGACGAUCCUUAGCUGGUCUGAGAGGAUGAUCAGCCACACUGGGACUGAGACACGGCCCAGACUCCUACGGGAGGCAGCAGUGGGGAAUAUUGGACAAUGGGCGAAAGCCUGAUCCAGCAAUGCCGCGUGAGUGAUGAAGGCCUUAGGGUUGUAAAGCUCUUUUACCCGGGAUGAUAAUGACAGUACCGGGAGAAUAAGCUCCGGCUAACUCCGUGCCAGCAGCCGCGGUAAUACGGAGGGAGCUAGCGUUGUUCGGAAUUACUGGGCGUAAAGCGCACGUAGGCGGCGAUCUAAGUCAGAGGUGAAAGCCCGGGGCUCAACCCCGGAAUAGCCUUUGAGACUGGAUUGCUUGAAUCCAGGAGAGGUGAGUGGAAUUCCGAGUGUAGAGGUGAAAUUCGUAGAUAUUCGGAAGAACACCAGUGGCGAAGGCGGCUCACUGGACUGGUAUUGACGCUGAGGUGCGAAAGCGUGGGGAGCAAACA
rnacentral:rRNA from 1 species